AACGAACGCUGGCGGCAUGCCUAACACAUGCAAGUCGAACGAAGCCUUCGGGCUUAGUGGCGCACGGGUGCGUAACGCGUGGGAAUCUGCCCUUUGGUUCGGAAUAACAGUUGGAAACGACUGCUAAUACCGGAUGAUGACGAAAGUCCAAAGAUUUAUCGCCAGAGGAUGAGCCCGCGUAGGAUUAGCUAGUUGGUGUGGUAAAGGCGCACCAAGGCGACGAUCCUUAGCUGGUCUGAGAGGAUGAUCAGCCACACUGGGACUGAGACACGGCCCAGACUCCUACGGGAGGCAGCAGUGGGGAAUAUUGGACAAUGGGCGAAAGCCUGAUCCAGCAAUGCCGCGUGAGUGAUGGAGGCCCUAGGGUUGUAAAGCUCUUUUACCCGGGAUGAUAAUGACAGUACCGGGAGAAUAAGCCCCGGCUAACUCCGUGCCAGCAGCCGCAGUAA
rnacentral:rRNA from 1 species